AACGAACGCUGGCGGCAUGCUUUACACAUGCAAGUCGAACGGUAACAGGCCGCAAGGUGCUGACGAGUGGCGAACGGGUGAGUAAUGCAUCGGAACGUGCCCAGUCGUGGGGGAUAACGCAGCGAAAGCUGUGCUAAUACCGCAUACGAUCUGUGGAUGAAAGCGGGGGACCGUAAGGCCUCGCGCGCUUGGAGCGGCCGAUGUCAGAUUAGGUAGUUGGUGGGGUAAAGGCUCACCAAGCCGACGAUCUGUAGCUGGUCUGAGAGGACGACCAGCCACACUGGGACUGAGACACGGCCCAGACUCCUACGGGAGGCAGCAGUGGGGAAUUUUGGACAAUGGGCGCAAGCCUGAUCCAGCAAUGCCGCGUGCAGGAAGAAGGCCUUCGGGUUGUAAACUGCUUUUGUACGGAGCGAAAAGGCUCCCUCUAAUACAGGGGGCUCAUGACGGUACCGUAAGAAUAAGCACCGGCUAACUACGUGCCAGCCGCCGCGGUAAAAC
rnacentral:rRNA from 1 species